UGAUGCCAGGGUCAAAAGGUCUAAAAACACAUGAGCUUGCUCAUAGGUGGUUGAAAGACCUUGGGACCCGCUCCGAUAUGAGCAUAAAAGUGGGAUGCUAAUUCCACGAUAUUCGAAUAUUAAAUAGGAUUGUGGGAGUGCAAAGCACGGAACAAUCCGUAGGCAUCA
rfam:Firmicutes bacterium CAG:95 genomic scaffold, scf375